UACGUAGGGGGCAAGCGUUGUCCGGAAUCAUUGGGCGUAAAGCGCAUGUAGGCGGCCUGGCAGGUCUGGUGUGAAAGCCCGGGGCUCAACCCCGGAGGGUCACUGGAAACCGACAGUCUUGAGUCCGGAAGAGGAGAGUGGAAUUCCUGGUGUAGCGGUGGAAUGCGCAGAUAUCAGGAGGAACACCUAUGGCGAAGGCAGCUCUCUGGUACGUGACUGACGCUGAGACACGAAAGCGUGGGGAGCGAACAGG
rnacentral:rRNA from 1 species